rnacentral:rRNA from 1 species
AUUGAACGCUGGCGGCAGGCCUAACACAUGCAAGUCGAACGAGUGGCGGACGGGUGAGUAAUUUCUGGGAAACUGCCCGAUGGAGGGGGAUAACUACUGGAAACGGUAGCUAAUACCGCAUACCAUCUGAUGUGCCCAGAUGGGAUUAGCUAGUAGGUGGGGUAACGGCUCACCUAGGCGACGAUCCCUAGCUGGUCUUGACGGAUGACCAGCAAAACUGGAACUGAGACACGGGCCAGACUCCUAAGGGAGGCAGCAGUGGGGAAUAUUGCACAAUGGGCGCAAGCCUGAUGAAGCCAUGCCGCGUGUAUGAAGAAGGCAUUCGGGUUGUAAAGUACUUUCAGCGAGGAGGCGUUACUCGCAGAAGAAGCACCGGCUAACUCCGUGCCAGCAGCCGCGGUAAUUC